AUUGAACGCUGGCGGCAGGCCUAACACAUGCAAGUCGAGCGGUAGCACAGAGAGCUUGCUCUCGGGUGACGAGCGGCGGACGGGUGAGUGAUGUCUGGGAAACUGCCUGAUGGAGGGGGAUAACUACUGGAAACGGUAGCUAAUACCGCAUAACGUCGCAAGACCAAAGUGGGGGACCUUCGGGCCUCAUGCCAUCAGAUGUGCCCAGAUGGGAUUAGCUGGUAGGUGGGGUAACGGCUCACCUAGGCGACGAUCCCUAGCUGGUCUGAGAGGAUGACCAGCCACACUGGAACUGAGACACGGUCCAGACUCCUACGGGAGGCAGCAGUGGGGAAUAUUGCACAAUGGGCGCAAGCCUGAUGCAGCCAUGCCGCGUGUGUGAAGAAGGCCUUCGGGUUGUAAAGCACUUUCAGCGGGGAGGAAGGCGGUGAGGUUAAUAACCUCAUCGAUUGACGUUACCCGCAGAAGAAGCACCGGCUAACUCCGUGCCAGCAGCCGCAGUAA
rnacentral:rRNA from 1 species